AAGAAUUGAGCAGAUCUUUAAAAAAUAGUCCUCAUACAUAAGUCCACUUUCACUUCUUUUAUCAUACAUGUAGGCCAUUUGCUGUAAUAUUAGAAGUAAAUCGAUUUCUAAAGUGAUAAAUUCUCCAGGUAUUUGGCCGAAACGUUUAUUUUGAUGCUUGGUAAUAAUCUCUGCCCCUUUAUUGAGAUUAUAUUUUGUCUGAAAUUCGUUUACGAUAUUAUUAAACUUACUUCUUUCAUUAGUUGAUCCGAACGUUGUUGUAACUUUACUUGGAAUGUCUGGAACAAUAAUAUGCACUAUCAACGUAUAAAACACCAAUUUUAGAGCAUUAAAUGCCAUUGUACUCUUAUGUUGUGGGAUGUGAUAAAAUGUGUACCUUUUAUGAAUGGAAACUUUUAAAACUCGUUUAUACGUAUUUCCGUUUCCGUUUAGGGUACUAGUAUUAUCGAACAAACAUUUUUUUGAGCACUUUUAUAUUUAUGUUAUAUUGAUUUAGGAGUACUAAUGCAUAUACUAAUGUAGGUACCUGUUCCGAAAUAAAAUUUGUCAACUUGUAUGUAUGUGUUAUCUGUGCAUUUAGUAUGAUAGUAGCAAAAUUAUGCAGGUAUCUAUAACUAACUAUUAAUGAUUAACGGGCACUAAAGUAAGGCUGUAUCGAGCGAUAAUUAAUUUAUAUAUUUUCUACGUUCCCGAUAUUUUUUACGUCAUAAAUCAGUAUG